rnacentral:rRNA from 1 species
UACGAAGGGGGCUAGCGUUGCUCGGAAUCACUGGGCGUAAAGCGCACGUAGGCGGAUUGUUAAGUCAGAGGUGAAAUCCUGGAGCUCAACUCCAGAACUGCCUUUGAUACUGAGGAUCUUGAGUUCGGGAGAGGUGAGUGGAACUGCGAGUGUAGAGGUGAAAUUCGUAGAUAUUCGCAAGAACACCAGUGGCGAAGGCGGCUCACUGGCCCGGAACUGACGCUGAGGUGCGAAAGCGUGGGGAGCAAACAGGG